rnacentral:rRNA from 1 species
CCCACCCCGCCGCGGUUUCGGGUUGAGCUCUUCUAGCUUAACCAGGCAGGCUUCCGGGCGGUUAUUGCUCGAUGGAUAUCUGCUCGCGCUUCCCCUCAUCGCUCCAUGUCCGUUGUUGACUCGUGGCACUUCCGUGCCAAGCUCGCUCGCCAAUUCAUGAAGGGUUGGGGUGCUAACCUUGGCCGGGACCUCCGCGAGCGCGAAAGGGCCCUCCAGCUGGCUAUCCAAGCACUGGACGCCUGUGCCGACACCUCCGGAAUCUCCCCGGAUGAGUGGAUGAUGAGAUAUGAUCUUGAGGAUCAACUCUCAACCAUUUAAACGGAUGAGGAGGCCUACUGGAGGUUGCGCAGUACCCAAUGGGUGCUUCCUGGCGAUGCAAACACCGCAUAUUUCCAGGUAGUCGCGAACGACAGGCGUCAUCGGAACUCCAUCCACUGCCUGUGGGAUGGAGAUACGCCUCUCAUUCGCCCCUCGGCUAUCCGUGUCCAUGUUGACGGCUUUUACAAAGCUCUAUUUACCCCCACCCCUCGGGGUGGGGCUAGUCUCGCCCCCGACAUUUGGUCGGCUGAUCAGCUGGUCUCUGCUGAGGCCAAUGUGGCAUUAGUUGCCCCCUUCGCCGAGGACGAGGUCCUCGCGGCUAUUAAGGGGAUGAACCCCUCCUCGGCCCCGGGGCCGGAUGGCCUACCCGUAAUGUUGUUCAAAAUGUUCUGGCUGACCAUCAAGCCGGAGGUCAUGGCAUUGUUUGAGGAAUUCUACUCGGGCUCUAUGGAUCUAGGGCGCCUUAACUAUGGGAUCGUCACCCUCAUCCCCAAGGUUCCGGGCGCCUCCGAUAUCCGCCAGUUCUGUCCCAUCACGGUGAUU